rnacentral:pre_miRNA from 1 species
CAAGUACCCCCUCCGUCCGGAAUUACUUGUCAUCAAAAUGGAUGUGUCUAGAACUAAAAUACAUCUAGAUACAUCCAUUUCAAUGACAAGUAUUUUUGGACGGAGGGAGUACAAG